ensembl:lncRNA novel transcript, sense intronic to C12orf75
AGUCCCGUUGCUGAGGGAACCCUUCGGGUGUUUGUUCUCUGUGCUGAAGUGAGAUAAGAAGCAAGGCCAUCGGCUCAAAGCAAUAAUGGUCAGAUGGUAUUGAAGGUUUGAGGAGAGAGGAGAUGGCAUAAAAUAGUCAUCUUGGAGCACAGGAAGCCAGUCCAUGGAAACAGAGAGGAAAUUCAUGACCUCCAAGGAGGUUUGGAGUCCUUCACGCCUGAGAGAUCACCAUGGAAAACAAUGAAGGGGAGAAAAAAGCUCGUCAGUUCUCAAGUAUUCAUCUCAUGGUGGCGACUGGCCUUUGACUUUCACUCAGGAUACAAAUUUGAUCCUGCCACUCCGCUAUUUAAAAUCUUUGGUGAUAAUAAGAGGAAUAACAAUAAUUGCAAACAGACACUUACUUAUUGAACUAUUACUAUGUGCCAGGUACUAUACUAAGGAUUUUACCUGCAUUAUCUCCUAAAAUUAUUCAAAACCUCAUUGGUUAUUUGCUGUUAUAAUCCCCAGUUUAAAGAUGAGGAAAUUGAGGCCUGGAAAGCUUAAAGAACUUGCCCACAGUUAGCUAAUUUCAGAGGUGGGAUUCAAACCUGUGGAAUAUGUUUCUAACUCCAGCCUCUUCCAAGGCUUCCUUCAGUGCUCCUUAUUGCCUACAGUAUAAUGUCUGCAUUCCUUAGCAGGAUUCACAAACCCCUGCUUGAUUACUGUGCUGCCAUCAUCUUCUGCCAUGACCUUUUGUACACGUGCCUUACAAAGUUCCCUGUAGUCCUUGAAAAUGUAGUUUCCCAUGCCUGUGUCUUUGCAGAGAUUGUUUCCAUCAGCCUCAAAUCCCCUUCCUCCAUGGGUCUCUUAACAAAUUCAUCUUCUAAAGCUGUGCUUAAAUAUCGCUUCUGUGGUCAAUGAAAUUCAGUUCUAUGCAUAUUAAUGAAGCAUGUACUUUGUUCCAAGCACCGAGGUAGGCACUGCAGGUUUAAUAACGUAAAAGAAACAUGGACUUGCUGCCCUUCAAGGGAGAUUCCCAUCUACUAAUGGCAGACGAUUAAAAACAGGAGUGUUCCAGUAGAGGACAAUCCACAUGACACAGGGAGCACAUGUAAAGGAGUCAUAGGCUAAGGUCAACAUUUCUGGAAUGAGUGUCCUGACAGGGGACGAUGCACAGGACAGGAGUGUGUAGGAGAAAGGUAACCACGAUCUAAUCAGUCAAUCUUGCCUGUAACUGUUGCCAUGUUUGUGUGUUUGUGUCCCUGUCUGCUGCCUAUGGUGAGUUAUUGCAAAAGUAAAUAAAAUACAUAUUAGUAGGUUUA